UCACAGAAACCCUGGCUGCCAGGGCUGGGGGGUGGGAAUAGGGAAUGACUGCUCAACAGUCAGGAGCCUCUUUUGGGGUAACAAAAAUGUUCCUGAAUUAGACAAUAGCAAUGGAUUCACCAUCAACUCAGUUCCAGUGAAGGUUCUAAGGACACAGACCACACAGCCUUGCCUUAGCCUGUCCAGUGAGAGUGACCCUCAGGACCAGUGCAAGGAAUGCUGGGACAAAGGUGCUUUAUUUCCUAUAGGCAGGAAUGUAACAGUGCAUGCUGUCCAAAGCUGUGGAAGCCAUCCCUGAACCCAGAAGCAAUGCAGCCUUGAGAUGAAGCCACCUAUAAGGAAAGUAGAUUGGAGUCCUUAGAGACAAGGAGUCACUGGAUCAAGCCUCACCUGAAAUCACCCACCCUUUCAAUUUUGUGAACUACUAAAGUCCCUUUAAUGUUUAAGAUAGUUAAA